AGUGAACGCUGGCGGCGUGCCUAAUACAUGCAAGUCGAACGGAAUUUAAAAGAGCUUGCUCUUUUGAAUUUAGUGGCGCACGGGUGAGUAAUAUAUAGCUAAUCUGCCCCUUGCUGGAGGACAACAGAUAGAAAUGACUGCUAAUACUCCAUACUCCUUUUUACCAUAAGAUAAAUCGGGAAAGAAUUUCGGCAAGGGAUGAGACUAUAUCGUAUCAGCUAGUCGGUGGGGUAACGGCCUACCGAGGCUAUGACGCGUAACUGGUCUGAGAGGAUGAUCAGUCACAUUGGAACUGAGACACGGUCCAAACUCCUACGGGAGGCAGCAGUAGGGAAUAUUGCGCAAUGGGGGAAACCCUGACGCAGCAACGCCGCGUGGAGGAUGACACUUUUCGGAGCGUAAACUCCUUUUGUUAGGGAAGAAUAAUGACGGUACCUAACGAAUAAGCACCGGCUAA
rnacentral:rRNA from 1 species